CACGAUCAUGAAACGGGUUGUACAUAUGAUUGCGCCAUACAAUAGAAACACAGAUUUGGCAGAGAGCUCAUGAUGUCACAACAGUAACACAGUGAGUCAAAAUUUCCACACAAGGAAAUGUCCAGAGUAGGUGUAGCGUUGCGGUGAGACGUUCCACACUCAUGAUUAAUCCUUCAUCGAAUGAAGUCUGGGGUUCGUGAUGAAACGCUUGCGUUAGCGCAGUCGCUUCAAAGCAUCUUUCAUCUUCUGUGAUCGUGGCCUCUUCAAGCACCGACUUUCCUCAGAAAGACAGUGGAAUUAUUCAUCGCCUGAUAAUGUGUGCUUGUAGUGAUGACAUUUAGACGCUGACGGACGUUGUUCGAUGUGCUCCACACAUGGGGAAAGGAUGCUUUGUUCCAGAUGACAAUUCAUUUACAGAUCUCACUACAGCAUUUAAAACAACUUCCAUAA